rnacentral:rRNA from 1 species
UAGGGAAUCUUCGGCAAUGGGGGGAACCCUGACCGAGCAACGCCGCGUGAGUGAAGAAGGUUUUCGGAUCGUAAAGCUCUUUUGUUAAGGAAGAACGAGUGUGAGAAUGGAAAGUUCAUGCUGUGACGGUACUUAACCAGAAAGGGACGGCUAACUACGUGCCAGCAGCCGCGGUAAUACGUAGGUCCCGAGCGUUGUCCGGAUUUAUUGGGCGUAAAGCGAGCGCAGGCGGUUAGAAAAGUCUGAAGUGAAAGGCAGUGGCUCAACCAUUGUAGGCUUUGGAAACUGUUUAACUUGAGUGCAGAAGGGGAGAGUGGAAUUCCAUGUGUGGCGGUGAAAUGCGUAGAUAUAUGGAGGAACACCGGUGGCGAAAGCGGCUCUCUGGUCUGUAACUGACGCUGAGGCUCGAAAGCGUGGGGAGCGAACAGG